rnacentral:tRNA from 1 species
GCCCUAGUAGCUCAGCGCCAGAGCGCCGG